AUUGAAGAUCUCUUUGAUGAAAAUGAAGAUGUUGGAAAGAAAGCAAGUAAUUAUGGAGUGGAGUCUUCAGCAUCAAAAGAUUGAUAUGUUUGCUGGAACAAAGAUCCUGGUAGACGUUCAAGAAGGAAAAGAGUAACUUAUGGACACUUAUGAACACUUAGUGUGAAGUGUGAACUUUAUUUUUCAAUUAUGUUGUGACUGUGAUUUGUAAACUUUGAAUUUUUAGUUGAAGCAAAACAAUGUAAGGUUCUGGAUUCA